AGAUUGAACGCUGGCGGCAUGCUUUACACAUGCAAGUCGAACGGUAACAGGCCGCAAGGUGCUGACGAGUGGCGAACGGGUGAGUAAUGUAUCGGAACGUGCCCAGUCGUGGGGGAUAACGCAGCGAAAGCUGCGCUAAUACCGCAUACGAUCUAUGGAUGAAAGCGGGGGACCGUAAGGCCUCGCGCGAUUGGAGCGGCCGAUAUCAGAUUAGGUAGUUGGUGGGGUAAAGGCUCACCAAGCCAACGAUCUGUAGCUGGUCUGAGAGGACGACCAGCCACACUGGGACUGAGACACGGCCCAGACUCCUACGGGAGGCAGCAGUGGGAAUUUGGACAAUGGGCGCAAGCCUGAUCCAGCAAUGCCGCGUGCAGGAAGAGGUCCUUCGGUUGUAACUGCUUUAGUACGAACGAACGUCCGUAGGUUAAUACCGU
rnacentral:rRNA from 1 species